rnacentral:tRNA from 1 species
GGCUCUGUGGUGCAACGGACAGCGUGUUGGACUUCCAGACUUUCAUAGGAGAAGGUUGUGGGUUCGAGUCCCACCACAGUCU